UGCAAGUUGAGCGCUGAAGAUUGGUACUUGUACCGAUUGGAUGAGCAGCGAACGGGUGAGUAACGCGUGGGGAAUCUGCCUUUGAGCGGGGGACAACAUUUGGAAACGAAUGCUAAUACCGCAUAAUAGCUUUAAACAUAAGUUUUAAGUUUGAAAGAUGCAAUUGCAUCACUCAAAGAUGAUCCCGCGUUGUAUUAGCUAGUUGGUGAGGUAAAGGCUCACCAAGGCGAUGAUACAUAGCCGACCUGAGAGGGUGAUCGGCCACAUUGGGACUGAGACACGGCCCAAACUCCUACGGGAGGCAGCAGUAGGGAAUCUUCGGCAAUGGACGAAAGUCUGACCGAGCAACGCCGCGUGAGUGAAGAAGGUUUUCGGAUCGUAAAACUCUGUUGUUAGAGAAGAACGACGAGGAGAGUGGAAAGCUCCUCGUGUGACGGUAUCUAACCAGAAAGGGACGGCUAACUACGUGCCAGCAGCCGCGGUAAUACGUAGGUCCCGAGCGUUGUCCGGAUUUAUUGGGCGUAAAGCGAGCGCAGGUGGUUUAUUAAGUCUGGUGUAAAAGGCAGUGGCUCAACCAUUGUAUGCAUUGGAAACUGGUAGACUUGAGUGCAGGAGAGGAGAGUGGAAUUCCAUGUGUAGCGGUGAAAUGCGUAGAUAUAUGGAGGAACACCGG
rnacentral:rRNA from 1 species